GUAGGGAAUAUUGGGCAAUGGAUGCAAGUCUGACCCAGCCAUCCCGCGUGCCGGAAGAAGGCCCUCAGGGUUGUAAACGGCUUUUGACGGUGAAGAAUCGACAGGAUGCGUCCUGUUUUGACGGUAGCCGUUGAAUAAGCACCGGCUAACUCCGUGCCAGCAGCCGCGGUAAUACGGAGGGUGCGAGCGUUGUCCGGAUUUAUUGGGUUUAAAGGGUGCGUAGGCUGGAAGGUCAGUCAGCGGUGAAAAGCUGUCGCUUAACGAUAGUCUUGCCGCAGAUACUUCCUUUCUUGGAUGAGGAGGAGGCCACUGGAACGGAUGGUGUAGCGGUGAAAUGCAUAGAUAUCAUCCAGAACACCGAUUGUGAAGGCAGGUGGCUGUACCUUAAUCGACGCUGAUGCACGAAAGCAUGGGGAGCAAACAGGAUUAGAAACCCGGGUAGUCC
rnacentral:rRNA from 1 species